GAGAUGUGUGAUGACGCAUAUCAAUAAGCGGAGGAAAAGAAACUAACAAGGAUUCCCUUAGUAACGGCGAGUGAAGCGGGAAGAGCUCAAAUUUGAAAUCUUCAAGGUUCUACCUUGACGAAUUGUAGUUUAUAGAAGUGUUUUCUGUUAGUAGAGUGGCAAAAGUUCUUUGGAAUAGGACAUCAUAGAGGGUGAGAAUCCCGUAUUUGGUCAUUCUUUCUAGCUUUGUGAUACACUUUCAACGAGUCGGAUUGUUUGGGAAUGCAGUCCAAAAUGGGUGGUAAAUUUCAUCUAAAGCUAAAUAUUGGCGAGAGACCGAUAGCGAACAAGUACCGUGAGGGAAAGAUGAAAAGAACUUUGAAAAGAGAGUUAAACAGUACGUGAAAUUGUCAAAAGGGAAGCGUUUGACACCAGUGUUGUUUUUCCGAAAAUCAAUUACGAAUGUUUUGUUUUUGAGAAGUUAUGACUUCAUCGGCUUGCUUCUCUCUUUAUGAAACUUUCUUAAUGCACUUUUCGGUUAACAAGUCAACAUCAAUUUCUUUUGUUGUAAAAGGGUAUGAGGAAGGUGGCUUUCUUUUCGGAGAAAGUGUUUAUAGCCUUGUACCUCUGCAAUCGGAGAGAUUGAGGUCUGCAGCGUAGAUCCUUCGGGGUUAGGAUACAUUUGUGCUAAGUUAUAGCUUUUCAUAGACAACUUGUUGACUAUGUUAAGUCUUGUAGCUUACUCGCUUAUGCUAUUUUACCUACGCUUAGGAUGUUGACGAUCAGCUGAGCGCG
rnacentral:rRNA from 1 species